rnacentral:rRNA from 1 species
CUGCUGCCUUCCGUAGGAGUCUGGUCCGUGUCUCAGUACCAGUGUGGGGGACCUUCCUCUCAGAACCCCUACGCAUCGUCGGCUUGGUGGGCCGUUGCCCCACCAACUACCUAAUGCGCCGCAUGCCCAUCCGUGACCGGGGUCGCCCCCUUUGGCCGGCAGGGGAUGUCCCCUCCCGGCAUUAUGUUGUAUUAGGCGGGAUUUCUCCCGGUUAUCCAUCUGUCACGGCCAGGUUGCAUACGUGUUACUCACCCGUGCGCCGGUCGCCGGCGG